rnacentral:tRNA from 1 species
GGAGGGAUCGCAUAGAGGCCUAGUGCGGGCGCCUGCUAAGCGCUUACAGGGGCUUAAACCUCUGUCGUGGGUUCGAAUCCCACUCCCUCCGCCA